rnacentral:rRNA from 1 species
UACGGAGGGUGCGAGCGUUGUCCGGAAUCCCUGGGCGUAAAGGGCGCGUAGGCGGCUUGGGAAGUCCGUGGUGAAAGCUCGUGGCUCAACUGCGAGUCGGCCAUGGAUACUCCUAAGCUCGAGUCGACUAGAGGCAGAUGGAAUUCCGGGUGUAGCGGUGGAAUGCGUAGAGAUCCGGAAGAACACCGGUGGCGAAGGCGGUCUGCUGGGGUCGAACUGACGCUGAGGCGCGACAGCGUGGGGAGCAAACAGG